rnacentral:rRNA from 1 species
GGGGGGCGGUGGCGGGGGGGCGGAGGCGGGGGGGGGGGGCGGGAGGGGGGGUGCUUGGGCGGGGGGGGGAGUGGCGGACGGGUGGGUAAUAGAUGGGGACAUGUGCUGUGGUGGGGGAUAGCCCGGCGGAAGCCGGAGUGAUAGCGCAUACGGUGUCCGGAUGAGCGGGGGGGGCCUGCGGGCCGCGCGCUCUGGUGGUGGCGGAUGGCUGCUUCGCUAUGUGGUGGGUGAAAGGACUGCCAAGGCGACGAUCAGUAUCUGGUCUGAGAGGACGACCAGCCACACUGGGACUGAGACACGGCCCAGACUCCUACGGGAGGCAGCAGUGGGGAAUUUUGGACAAUGGGCGAAAGCCUGAUCCAGCAAUGCCGCGUGUGUGAAGAAGGCCUUCGGGUUGUAAAGCACUUUUGUCCGGAAAGAAAUCCUUGGCCCUAAUACGGUCGGGGGAUGACGGUACCGGAAGAAUAAGCACCGGCUAACUACGUG